GGGUUGUGAGGUUAAGCGACUAAGCGUACACGGUGGAUGCCUAGGCAAUCAGAGGCGAUGAAGGACGUGCUAAUCUGCGAUAAGCGUCGGUAAGGUGAUAUGAACCGUUAUACCCGACGAUUUCCGAAUGGGGAAACCCAGUGCAAUCCGUUGCACUAUCGUUUGAUGAAUACAUAGUCAAACGAAGCGAACCGGGGGAACUGAAACAUCUCAGUACCCCGAGGAAAAGAAAUCAACCGAGAUUCCCCUAGUAGCGGCGAGCGAACGGGGAGCAGCCCAGAGUCUUAAUCAGCAUUAGUAUCAGGAGAACGGUCUGGAAAGUCCGGCAGUAAAGGGUGAUAGCCCCGUAUCUGAAGAUGCUAGUGUUGUGAACUCGACGAGUAGGGCGGGACACGUGUUAUCCUGUCUGAAUAUGGGGGGACCAUCCUCCAAGGCUAAAUACUCCUGAUUGACCGAUAGUGAACCAGUACCGUGAGGGAAAGGCGAAAAGAACCCCGGCGAGGGGAGUGAAAUAGAACCUGAAACCGUGUACGUACAAGCAGUGGGAGCCUUGAUUUAUCAGGGUGACUGCGUACCUUUUGUAUAAUGGGUCAGCGACUUAUAUUCUGUAGCAAGGUUAACCGUAUAGGGGAGCCGUAGGGAAACCGAGUCUUAACUGGGCGAAUGAGUUGCAGGGUAUAGACCCGAAACCCGGUGAUCUAGCCAUGGGCAGGUUGAAGGUUGGGUAACACUAACUGGAGGACCGAACCGACUAAUGUUGAAAAAUUAGCGGAUGAC
rnacentral:rRNA from 1 species